rnacentral:lncRNA from 10 species
AUACUGCUGUUGAUGAUGUGAAUUUUGGAAAUAUUCUCCCCUAUUGGGUCUUUCUCCAUGACAGAUGAUGUCCUUUGGCUUCGGUUUUUUGCCUAAGAACUGUAAGUGGUGCUUGCUAGCCCUACUAAGAAUCCUGCCAUUGUUGCAAAUUUCAGAAAAAAGGUAAUGCAUUUAAGGAACUUUUCCCUUUGUUACAAUUAUUUUCUUUCUAUAUUAAGUAGCUUAUAAUUAGGAUAAAGAGAUUACAGAAACAGGGAUGGAGAAGGACGGGUUGAGGGGAGGAGAGAGAGUGCUGGAGAGACAAUAUCAUCACUAGGAAAAGACAUGAGUAAAAAAAUAGCGCAAACAAGAAUUAUGCUCCUCAAAAAAGAGCUUUCUGGUCACCUUGCAAGGAUUCUAUAAAAGUUACAGGUUACAAUCGAAAUAAGUAAAAUAUUUAGUUAACAAGGAAAUGUGCAUCGUGCACAUAAUUACUGAAAGUUAUUACCAGUCACUGUGGUAGGAACUGGGGAUUAGAGAGAGAACGGAUCUGUAGUUCUAGCCUCAAGGAGUUACUGUUUAGCAUUAGAGGCAAAAUGAAAAAGUACUCAUUGUUUCUGCCCAUGUUUGCAAAAAGGGGACAAGUUAUUGGUCCCCAAAGUAAAUGAGAUAAUGAGAAAAAACUUCAGGGAAAAAACUGAGAAUACUAUAGCUGAUUAACUUACUGUUUAGUUCUCUUAAAAAUAUCUACCUUCUUAUCAUUAUAAUUCUGGAAUGAAAAUCAGGAGGACUGCCUAGUACUGCCAAUUCUGACAGUGAUCUGUAACAAUGCAGUGAGGCAUCUUGGGACAAAGAUUGGAAGAGGAAGAAAGCCAGAGAAUUGAGCCUGACAUUUGGGAGCCACUUUUCCCCUUGAACAACAAUAAUAAUGGCCCUUAGGCUUUCUGCGGAAAGGAGGGUGUUUGUUUAAAAAACAAAAAGACAGAGACAUAUACAGAGACAGAGAAAAAGAAGAAAGGAAAAGCAAAAAGAUUCCAGAAAUAAAGGGGAAAAUAUAACCCUUACCAUGGAGGAAAAUUACAAUUCACUUGGAUUAACCAUAAGAAGAUUAAAAAGUCAUAUAUUGACCAAUUUUAAUGUUUUCUGGAAGAAGAAACACACCUUUUCACACUGUGAGCUGUACAGAAGCCG